AUACAGCUAUUUAAGCAGGAAAUGCUGGGCCGGCCUCUCCCAUACACCUGCUCCAGCUGUAGCAUCUAAAAGGGACAAACAAUGUCCCAUGAUAAACCCUGAUGUUUCCAGAAAGCAGGCGAUUGAACUGGACAUUGAAUGCGACCAUCUGCUCCCAGCUGAAGAUGGAAGUUGAAGAGAGCAAGGCCAAGUCAAAUGUCACCACCGAUUCAGCCAUUAUCGAGGUACAAAGAUGCAUCUCCACACCAAGAUCACCUCUACAAUACUGGGAAUUGCAAAAACUACAUUACUCUACCUUAUACAAACUUGCAAUUAAAUUUCUAUGUACACCGUCAUCAUCAGUGUCCUGUGAAAGGGUGUUCUCAAAAGCAGGAGAAAUGGUUUGUAAAUGCCGCAAUCACCUUGGCCCAAAACUGUUACAGCAACUGAUUAUUCUAAAUAAAAACAUGUGAAUGAACUUUA